rfam:Triticum aestivum genome assembly, contig: Triticum_aestivum_CS42_TGACv1_scaffold_329395_4BS
CUUAUACGCCCUCCGUUCGGAAUUACUUGUCUCGGAAAUGGAUUUAUCUAGAUGUAUUUUAGUUCUAGAUACAUCCAUUUCCGAGACAAGUAAUUCUGAAUGGAGGGAGUACCUU